ACAAAGUGAGCUCCAGGAUAAUUA
rnacentral:piRNA from 1 species